rnacentral:rRNA from 1 species
GACGAACGCUGGCGGCGUGCUUAACACAUGCAAGUCGAACGGAAAGGCCCUGCUUUUGUGGGGUGCUCGAGUGGCGAACGGGUGAGUAACACGUGAGUAACCUGCCCUUGACUUUGGGAUAACUUCAGGAAACUGGGGCUAAUACCGGAUAGGAGCUCCUGCUGCAUGGUGGGGGUUGGAAAGUUUCGGCGGUUGGGGAUGGACUCGCGGCUUAUCAGCUUGUUGGUGGGGUAGUGGCUUACCAAGGCUUUGACGGGUAGCCGGCCUGAGAGGGUGACCGGCCACAUUGGGACUGAGAUACGGCCCAGACUCCAACGGGAGGCAGCAGUGGGGAAUAUUGCACAAUGGGCGGAAGCCUGAUGCAGCAACGCCGCGGGCGGGAUGACGGCCUUCGGGUUGUAAACCGCUUUCGCCUGUGACGAAGCGUGAGUGACGGUAAUGGGUAAAGAAGCACCGGCUAACUACGUG